rnacentral:rRNA from 1 species
AUACGUAGGGGGCGAGCGUUGUCCGGAAUGAUUGGGCGUAAAGGGCGCGUAGGCGGCCCGGUAAGUCUGGAGUGAAAGUCCUGUUUUUAAGAUGGGAAUUGCUUUGGAUACUGUCGGGCUUGAGUGCAGGAGAGGUAAGUGGAAUUCCCAGUGUAGCGGUGAAAUGCGUAGAGAUUGGGAGGAACACCAGUGGCGAAGGCGGCUUACUGGACUGUAACUGACGCUGAGGCGCGAAAGUGUGGGGAGCAAACAGGAUUAGAUACCCUGGUAGUCCACACUGUAAACGAUGAAUGCUAGGUGUAGGGGGUAUCGACCCCUUCUGUGCCGCAGUCAACACAAUAAGCAUUCCGCCUGGGGAGUACGGCCGCAAGGUUGAAACUCAAAGGAAUUGGCGGGG